rnacentral:rRNA from 1 species
UACGGAGGGGGCUAGCGUUGUUCGGAAUUACUGGGCGUAAAGGGCGCGUAGGCGGCGCGAUAAGUUGGGCGUGAAAUCCCUCGGCUUAACCGGGGAACUGCGUCCGAUACUGGAUGGCUUGAGUUCGGGAGAGGGAUGCGGAAUUCCAGGUGUAGCGGUGAAAUGCGUAGAUAUCUGGAGGAACACCGGUGGCGAAGGCGGCAUCCUGGACCGACACUGACGCUGAGGAGCGAAAGCCAGGGGAGCAAACGGG